AAUCAACGCUGGCGGCGUGCCUCAGACAUGCAAGUCGAACGAUUAAAGCUCUCUUCGGAGAGUGCAUAGAGUGGCGCACGGGUGAGUAACACGUAAGUAAUCUACCCUCGAGUGGGGAAUAACGUCCGGAAACGGACGCUAAUACCGCAUAAUGCAGCGGCACCGCAAGGUGACAGUUGUUAAAGGAGAAAUUCGCUUGAGGAGGAGCUUGCGGCAGAUUAGCUUGUUGGUAAGGUAACGGCUUACCAAGGCUACGAUCUGUAACCGGUCUUAGAGGACGGUCGGUCACACUGACACUGAAUAACGGGUCAGACUCCUACGGAGGCAGCAGUCGGGAAUUUUGGGCAAUGGGCGAAAGCCUGACCCAGCAACGCCGCGUGAAGGAUGAAGUAUUUCGGUAUGUAAACUUCGAAAGAAUAGGAAGAAUAAAUGACGGUACUAUUUAUAAGGUCCGGCUAACUACGUGCCAGCAGCCGCUGUAAG
rnacentral:rRNA from 1 species